CAAAAGAGUGGGAAGAGCUUCAAGUAGAGGUGAAAAACCUACCGAGCACAGUUAUAGCUGGUUGCCUGAGAAAUGAAUAGAAGUUCAGCCCUUUAAAAUUUCCCGUCCCACAUGCCUGUGCUAAAAUUGGUCAAGGAAAUUAAAGGAGUUAAUCAAAAGGGGUACAGCCCUUUUGAUAAAAGAAACAACUUUUAUAGGUGACCCAGGAUCAUAUUACCCAAGGGUUUCAAAUUAAGUGGGCCUAAAAGCAGCCAUCUUAAUAGAAAGCGUUAAAGCUCAAAUUAAAUAUUACCCUUAUAUACUGAUAACUUAUCCUCCCCCCUACCCUCUACCAGGCCCUCUUAUGCUUUCAUAAGAAUAAUUAUGCUAAAAUGAGUAAUAAGAAGAAUACUGUUCUUCUCCCAGCAUGUGUGUAAGUCGGGAUGGACCCCCCACCGACCAUUAACCGCUUCCAAAUCCAGAGGAAAAUAAGAAAUAAAAACAAGAAAAACACUUAAUUUUAAUAUCGUUAACCCUACACAGGUGUGCCUAAAGGAAAGAUUAAAAGAAAGGGAAGGAACUCGGCAAACAUAAGCCUCGCCUGUUUACCAAAAACACCGCCUCUUGUUUUAAAAAAUAUAAGAGGUCCCGCCUGCCCUGUGACUAUAAGUUUAACGGCCGCGGUAUUUUAACCGUGCGAAGGUAGCGUAAUCACUUGUCUUUUAAAUGAAGACCUGUAUGAAUGGCAUCACGAGGGCUUAACUGUCUCCCCCCUCCAAUCAAUGAAAUUGAUCUCCCCGUGCAGAAGCGGGGAUAAGUACAUAAGACGAGAAGACCCUGUGGAGCUUUAGACCUAAAAUAAUUCACGUUUUAAUACCCUGUUAUACCAGUAAAAACUUAGUUUUACUUAUUGAAGUGUCUUUGGUUGGGGCGACCACGGGGAAAAAUAUAACCCCCAUGAAGACCGGGGAUACUAUCCCUAAUACUCAGAGCUUUCUAUUCCAAGUCCAGAAAUUCUGACUUUCCUGAUCCGGUAUUUAACCGAUCAACGGACCGAGUUACCCCAGGGAUAACAGCGCAAUCCCCUCCCAGAGCCCAUAUCGACGAGGGGGUUU
rnacentral:rRNA from 1 species